rnacentral:rRNA from 1 species
UACAGAGGUCUUAAGCGUUGUUCGGAUUCAUUGGGCGUAAAGGUGCGUCGGCGGCGCGGUAAGUCUGGUGUGAAAUCUCGGAGCUUAACUCCGAAACUGCAUUCGAUACUGCCGUGCUUGAGGACUGGAGAGGAGACUGGAAUUUACGGUGUAGCGGUGAAAUGCGUAGAUAUCGUAAGGAAGACCAGUGGCGAAGGCGGGUCUCUGGACAGUUCCUGACGCUGAGGCACGAAGGUCAGGGGAGCAAACGGG